UCGCGAAAACUUUGCAAUACACGAAAGUGUGACAGGGCUAUCCCGAGUGCCAUCCGCUGAGGAAGGCUUUUACCCAGUCUAGAACGCUGGGGGAAUAAGGAGAGGGCAAGUCUGGUGU
rnacentral:rRNA from 1 species